UGCUAUUUGGGUGAGAAUAAGCCAUGCGAGUUGAAUGGGAUACCUAAAGUUCACAUAGCAAACUGCUCAGUAACACAUGAUCAACUUACCCUAUAGAGAAAAAUAACCUCGGGAAACUGAGGAUAAUGUUUCAUAAUUGAAUUGGCUUGGAAAAGUUUUUCAAUGAAAAGGAUAAAAAAAAUGGUUUUUAUCUGCUAUAGGAUAGGAUCGUGUUCGAUUAUGGUUGUUGGUGAGAUAAUGGCUCACCAAGCCGAUAAUCGAUAGGGGCCGUGAGAGCGGGAGCCCCGAGAUGGGUACUGAGACAACGACCCGGGCCUCACGAGGCGCAGCAGGCGCGGAACCUCCGCAAUACACGAAAGUGUGACGGGGUUACCCAAAGUGUUCAUUUGAACUGUGGUAGGUGAGUAAUGUCCCCUACUAGAGAGGAGAGGGCAAGGCUGGUGCCAGCCGCCGCGGUAAAACCAGCUCUUCAAGUGGUCGGGAUAAUUAUUGGGCUUAAAGUGUCCGUAGCCGGUUUAGUAAGUUCCUGGUAAGAUCGGGUAGCUUAACUAUCUGCAUGCUAGGAAUACUGCUAUACUAGAGGGCGGGAGAGGUCUGAGGUACUACAGGGGUAGGGGUGAAAUCUUAUAAUCCCUGUAGGACCACCAGUGGCGAAGGCGACAGACUGGAACGCGCCUGACGGUGAGGGACGAAAGCCAGGGGAGCGAACCGGAUUAGAUACCCGGGUAGUCCUGGCCGUAAACGAUGCAUACUAGGUGAUGGUGCGGCCAUGAGCCGUAUCAGUGCCGUAGGGAAACCGUUAAGUGUGCCGCCUGGGAAGUACGGUCGCAAGGCUAAAACUUAAAGGAAUUGGCGGGGGAGCACCACAAGGGGUGAAGCCUGCGGUUCAAUUGGAGUCAACGCCGGA
rnacentral:rRNA from 1 species